rnacentral:rRNA from 1 species
UACGGAGGGUGCUAGCAUUAAUCGGAUUUAUUGGGCGUAAAGGGCGCGUAGGCGGGGAUGAAAGUCAGAUGUGAAAUCCCGGGGCUCAACCUCGGAACAGCAUUUGAAACUUCAUCUCUUGAGGGUAGGCGGAGAAAACAGAAUUCCACAAGUAGCGGUGAAAUGCGUAGAUAUGUGGAAGAAUACCGGUGGCGAAGGCGGUUUUCUAGCUUAUUCCUGACGCUGAUGCGCGAAAGCAAGGGGAUCAAAC